rnacentral:rRNA from 1 species
AGACCCGAAACCCGGUGAUCUAGCCAUGGGCAGGUUGAAGGUUGGGUAACACUAACUGGAGGACCGAACCGACUAAUGUUGAAAAAUUAGCGGAUGACCUGUGGCUGGGGGUGAAAGGCCAAUCAAACCGGGAGAUAGCUGGUUCUCCCCGAAAGCUAUUUAGGUAGCGCCUCGUGAAUUCAUCUCCGGGGGUAGAGCACUGUUUCGGCUAGGGGGCCAUCCCGGCUUACCAACCCGAUGCAAACUGCGAAUACCGGAGAAUGUUAUCACGGGAGACACACGGCGGGUGCUAACGUCCGUCGUGAAGAGGGAAACAACCCAGACCGCCAGCUAAGGUCCCAAAGUCAUGGUUAAGUGGGAAACGAUGUGGGAAGGCCCAGACAGCCAGGAUGUUGGCUUAGAAGCAGCCAUCAUUUAAAGAAAGCGUAAUAGCUCACUGGUCGAGUCGGCCUGCGCGGAAGAUGUAACGGGGCUAAACCAUGCACCGAAGCUGCGGCAGCGAACGUAUCACCCAAGACAACUUUACGGAGUUGACGAUUGACGGAGCGAAGCGACGUCAAAGCGUUCAUUAAAGUCGAGUUGGCUUAGGGAUACGUUCGUUGGGUAGGGGAGCGUUCUGUAAGCCUGUGAAGGUGUGUCGUGAGGCAUGCUGGAGGUAUCAGAAGUGCGAAUGCUGACAUAAGUAACGAUAAAGCGGGUGAAAAGCCCGCUCGCCGGAAGACCAAGGGUUCCUGUCCAACGUUAAUCGGGGCAGGGUGAGUCGACCCCUAAGGCGAGGCCGAAAGGCGUAGUCGAUGGGAAACGGGUUAAUAUUCCCGUACUUGGUGUUACUGCGAAGGGGGGACGGAGAAGGCUAUGUUGGCCGGGCGACGGUUGUCCCGGUUUAAGCGUGUAGGUGUGUGUUCCAGGUAAAUCCGGUUCACUUUAACACUGAGGCGUGACGACGAGGCACUACGGUGCUGAAGCAACAAAUGCCCUGCUUCCAGGAAAAGCCUCUAAGCAUCAGGUAACAUCAAAUCGUACCCCAAACCGACACAGGUGGUCAGGUAGAGAAUACCAAGGCGCUUGAGAGAACUCGGGUGAAGGAACUAGGCAAAAUGGUGCCGUAACUUCGGGAGAAGGCACGCUGACACGUAGGUGAAGUGAUUUACUCAUGGAGCUGAAGUCAGUCGAAGAUACCAGCUGGCUGCAACUGUUUAUUAAAAACACAGCACUGUGCAAACACGAAAGUGGACGUAUACGGUGUGACGCCUGCCCGGUGCCGGAAGGUUAAUUGAUGGGGUCAGCGUAAGCGAAGCUCCUGAUCGAAGCCCCGGUAAACGGCGGCCGUAACUAUAACGGUCCUAAGGUAGCGAAAUUCCUUGUCGGGUAAGUUCCGACCUGCACGAAUGGCGUAAUGAUGGCCAGGCUGUCUCCACCCGAGACUCAGUGAAAUUGAACUCGCUGUGAAGAUGCAGUGUACCCGCGGCAAGACGGAAAGACCCCGUGAACCUUUACUAUAGCUUGACACUGAACAUUGAGCCUUGAUGUGUAGGAUAGGUGGGAGGCUUUGAAGUGUGGACGCCAGUCUGCAUGGAGCCGACCUUGAAAUACCACCCUUUAAUGUUUGAUGUUCUAACGUGGACCCGUAAUCCGGGUUGCGGACAGUGUCUGGUGGGUAGUUUGACUGGGGCGGUCUCCUCCUAAAGAGUAACGGAGGAGCACGAAGGUUGGCUAAUCCUGGUCGGACAUCAGGAGGUUAGUGCAAUGGCAUAAGCCAGCUUGACUGCGAGCGUGACGGCGCGAGCAGGUGCGAAAGCAGGUCAUAGUGAUCCGGUGGUUCUGAAUGGAAGGGCCAUCGCUCAACGGAUAAAAGGUACUCCGGGGAUAACAGGCUGAUACCGCCCAAGAGUUCAUAUCGACGGCGGUGUUUGGCACCUCGAUGUCGGCUCAUCACAUCCUGGGGCUGAAGUAGGUCCCAAGGGUAUGGCUGUUCGCCAUUUAAAGUGGUACGCGAGCUGGGUUUAGAACGUCGUGAGACAGUUCGGUCCCUAUCUGCCGUGGGCGCUGGAGAACUGAGGGGGGCUGCUCCUAGUACGAGAGGACCGGAGUGGACGCAUCACUGGUGUUCGGGUUGUCAUGCCAAUGGCACUGCCCGGUAGCUAAAUGCGGAAGAGAUAAGUGCUGAAAGCAUCUAAGCACGAAACUUGCCCCGAGAUGAGUUCUCCCUGAGACUUAG